GACGCACCGUGCGAACGUUGUUCGGAAUCACUGGGCCUAAAGGGCGCGUAGGCGGCUUAUCCAGUCAGGGGUGAAAUCCGGCAGCUUAACUGUCGAAGUGCCCUUGAUACUGACGAGCUCGAGGGAGAUAGGGGUGUGUGGAACUUCCGGUGGAGCGGUGAAAUGCGUUGAUAUCGGAAGGAACGCCGGUGGCGAAAGCGACACACUGGAUCUCUUCUGACGCUGAGGCGCGAAAGCCAGGGGAGCAAACGGG
rnacentral:rRNA from 1 species